CACGGGCGACAUCAUGGACCCAGCCAUCCUGGCCAGACUGCCAUAUCCGCUCCUCUAUCUACGUCUGUCAGUAAUUCGCUGCCUCACAGAUGACAGCCCUGACAUCGAUUGGUGCUGCGACUUGGCUCGUCAACUGUGUCCCGAAUCCAGUAAAGGGUUCUAUUUUGAAAUUGAUUUCGCUGAUACUCACCUCACUAGUGUUGGUGUGGAGAGCCUAGCACGAAGCCUCCACCAGAAGGGCAUCACCACUAGUGGCCUUUCUGUCUAUACCAAGGACUCGCUUCCCCAGGAGGAUGAAGAUCGCCUCAAGGAGCUUGUUGACUCACUUGGCCUCGGAUUUCUUUUGUGUCUAGAAGCGAGUUGAGAGCCAAAAAGUAUUCACAAUAUGCAUGUGUGAUGACACAUCUAUGAGGGAACUCAGAAGGAGAGACUUCCGACGAGCGACUGCCACAGUACACAAUCCAAGACCUUUUCAGAGUGCUGUUUAAGACCGAGACGUAUCAACCACGUUGAGCUAAUUCCCGAUAAACAAAUGGCACCUUUAUAGCUGCCUGGGGAAAGUAAUUAAUAAAUAAAUAAAUAAAUAUGUUUAUUCAGGGCUCUGGGUGGUGGUCUCCUGUAUGAUGCCUCCUGCAGUUCUACUUGGAUUUGUCCCUUGAGUGUCGAAAAAGGUCGCAAUCUACCGUGCCUCUCUGGGGAAUGCUGGGGUACAAGGACACCCUGUCCAGAGGAUGAAGGUUUGCCCCUAAUGGAAUAGGUUCCCUGUGGUUUUGUGAUCUGGCCAGAAAGUCCAUAACAUCCUUCAGGCGUUCCAGCAAGAGGCCCAAAAGCGGCACGAAGAUUGCCAUGCAUAUCAGAUCUAUGGGCCACGUUGACGCCCCACAGCCACUCAGUAUGGACCUUCCUGACCAUGUGUGCAUCUGGAUUUAAUGAUUUAUGUAUUUUUGGCAGGACGUAUGGUGGCGGUAUUGCAUGUGAAAAUGUUAUGAAUGCAUCCCUGGCCGCUGCUGUGAGGAGUCCCUCUGUACCGUUUGUGUUGGAGUAUACUGUCAGUACCGAGUUCCGACUUCUUUCCUUGUGCGUUUCCCACUGCCUCUCCUAGAAUUGUAUCAGAUGGUUUGUGGGAGCAUCUAGUUGGCGGAGGCCUUCCCGCCUGUAGUUCUCCGUUCCCCAUACUGCCAUUGUCGCCCCUUUGUCGGUUACUUUAAUCACUAUGUCCGUCCUAUUGUUUAGUUCCAUAAGGGCAUCCCACUCUAUCUUUGUAGGAUUUUGCCCGACUACAGAGCAGGGUUUCUCCCCAACCUGUCCUCUUAAAAAACAUCGCUUCUGGCCGUUUGCCCGUAUGGCCGAAAGUGGACGUAAUUUGAAAAUGAAAAUAAAUUAAAUUAAAUUUGAGAUUUUUUUUCAACACCAGUAAGA